GCCGGGCGCAGCGGCUCGUGCCUGUAGUCCCAGCUACUCGGGAGGCUGAGGCUGGAGGAUCGCUUGAGCCCAGGAGUUCUGGGCUGCAGUGCGCUAUGCCGAUCGGGUGUCCGCACUAAGUAUGGCACCAAUAUGGUGACCUCCCGGGAGCAGGGGACCACCAGGUUGCCUAGGGAGGGGUGAAUUGGCCCAGGUUGGAAACAGAGCAGGUCAAAACUCCCAUGCUGAUCAGUAGUGGGAUCGCACCUGUGAAUAGCCACUGCACUCCAGCCUGGGCAACAUAGCGAGACCCCAUCUCU
rnacentral:SRP_RNA from 1 species